CGGGGGGUAGACCAUACUAUGAUUGCUUUAGGGUGAAAUAGGGUUGAGUGACAAAACAGAAGCAGGGAAGGGAAGGGCACGAGAGAAAAAAUAAACUGAGUGACAAAACAUAGGGAAAGGCAAAAAUCUUAAACCUUAUUUUUUGAUUGUUCUGCAACAGUGUUUUUAAUAAUUGCUAUUGAUAUAAACUUAAAUUUGUCACUUAUAUCUUAGCAAGCAUCACUAAAGAUUAUUCUUUCUUAAAUG
rnacentral:lncRNA from 1 species